UGAGUAACACGUGAGCAACCUGCCUUUCAGUGGGGGACAACAUUUGGAAACGAAUGCUAAUACCGCAUAAGACCACAGUGUCGCAUGGCACAGGGGUCAAAGGAUUUAUCCGCCGAAAGAUGGGCUCGCGUCCGAUUAGCUAGAUGGUGAGGUAACGGCCCACCAUGGCGACGAUCGGUAGCCGGACUGAGAGGUUGAACGGCCACAUUGGGACUGAGACACGGCCCAGACUCCUACGGAGGCAGCAUG
rnacentral:rRNA from 1 species